rnacentral:rRNA from 1 species
AGUUUGAUUCUGGCUCAGAUUGAACGCUAGCGGGAUGCUUUACAUGCAAGUCGAACGGCAGCACGGACUUCGGUCUUGGUGGCGAGUGCGAACGGGUGAGUAAUGUAUCGGAACGUGCUUAGUAGGCGGGGGAUAACUACGCGGAAGCGUAGCUAAUACCGCAUACGCCCUUCGGGGAAAGCGGGGGACCUUUCGCCUCGCACUAUUAGAGCGCCGAUAUCGGAUUAGCUAGUUGGUGGGGUAAACGGCUCACCGGCGACGAUCCGUAGCUGGUUUGAGAGGACGACCAGCCACACUGGGACUGAGACACGGCCCAGACUCUACGGGAGGCAGGGAAUUUUGGACAAUGGGGAAACCUGAUCCAGCCAUCCCGCGUGUGCGAUGAAGGCCUUCGGGUUGUAAAGCACUUUUUGGCAGGAAAGAAACGGCACGGGAUAAUACCCCGUGCAACUGACGGUACCUGCAGAAUAAGCACCGGCUAACUACGUGCCAGCAGCCGCGGUAAUACGUAGGUGGGGUAAGCGUUAAUCGGAAUUACUGGGCGUAAAGCGUGCGCAGGCGGUUCGGAAAGAAAGAUGUGAAAUCCCAGAGCUUAACUUUGGAACUGCAUUUUUAACUACCGAGCUAGAGUGUGUCAGAGGGAGGUGGAAUUCCGCGUAGCAGUGAAAUGCGUAGAUAUGGAGGAACACCAGAUGGCGAAGGCAGCCUCUGGACAUAACACUGAUUAUAAAUGAAAGCGUGGGGAGCAAACAGGAUUAGAUACCCUGGUAGUCCACGCCCUAAACGAUGUCAACUAGCUGUUGGGGCCUCGCCCUGGCAGCGCAGCUAACGCGUGAAGUUGACCGCCUGGGGAGUACGGUCGCAAGAUUAAAACUCAAAGGAAUUGACGGGGACCCGCACAAGCGGUGGAUGAUGUGGGGAUUAAUUGAUGCAACGCGAAACCUUACCUACCCUUGACAUGCCUGGAAUCCUGAAGAGAUUUGGGGAGUGCUCGCAAGAGAACCGGAACACAGGUGCUGCAUGGCUGUCGUCAGCUCGUGUCGUGAGAUGUUGGGUUAAGUCCCGCAACGAGCGCAACCCUUGUCAUUAGUUGCUACGAAAGGGCACUCGACGAGACUGCCGGUAUAAACCGAGGAAGGUGGGGAUGACGUCAAGUCCUCAUGGCCCUUAUGGGUAGGGCUUCACACGUCAUACAAUGGUCGGGACAGAGGUCGCCAACCCGCGAGGGGGAGCCAAUCCCAGAAACCCGAUCAGUCCGGAUCGCAGUCUGCAACUCGACUGCGUGAAGUCGGAAUCGCUAGUAAUCGCGGAUCAGCAUGUCGCGGUGAAGGACGUUCCCGGGUCUUGUACACACCGCCCGUCACACCAUGGGAGUGGGUUUUACCAGAAGUAGUUAGCCUAACCGUAAGGAGGGCGAUUACCACGGUAGGAUUCAUGACUGGGGUGAAGUCGUAACAAGGUA